GGAGGGAUGGGUGAGUGGCUGAAACCAGCAGUUUGCUAAACUGCCGAUCUCGUAAGGGAUCCGGGGGUUCGAAUCCCCCUCCCUCCG
rnacentral:tRNA from 1 species